rnacentral:lncRNA from 1 species
UGGUGGCGCGGGAGGACCAAGCGGCUGAAAGGGAGGAGGAUAGCAGGCGAGCGAGGGCGGCAGUCUUCGGUCGGGGAGACUGACGCGUUGGUGAAGAAGAGAAGGAGCGAUGUUACGCGCUGGUGCAAACCAAACAAAUUGAGAAAUAAUUCGUUACACCCUCUAAAACGCUGCGAUCUGAUUACGUUACCAUUUAUAUUAGUCCCUCCGUUCCAAAAUAUAAGACCUUUUAGGGAUUUCACUAGGAGACUACAUACAAAGCAAAAUGAGUGAAUCUAUAUUCUAAAAUAUGUCUAUGUACAUCC